GAUGAACGCUGACGGCGUGCCUAAUACAUGCAAGUAGAACGCUGAAGCUUGGUGCUUGCACCGAGCGGAUGAGUUGCGAACGGGUGAGCAACGCGUAGGUAACCUGCCUGGUAGCGGGGGAUAACUAUUGGAAACGGUAGCUAAUACCGCAUAACAGUAGAUAUUGCACGAUAUCUGCUUGAAAGGGCAAUUGCUCCACUACCAGAUGGACCUGCGUUGUAUUAGCUAGUUGGUGAGGUAACGGCUCACCAAGGCGACGAUACAUAGCCGAUCUGAGAGGGUGAUCGGCCACACUGGGACUGAGACACGGCCCAG
rnacentral:rRNA from 1 species